rnacentral:rRNA from 1 species
UACGUAGGGAGCAAGCGUUGUUCGGAUUUACUGGGCGUAAAGGGCGCGUAGGCGGCGCGGUAAGUCACUUGUGAAAUCUCUGAGCUUAACUCAGAACGGCCAAGUGAUACUGCAGUGCUAGAGUGCAGAAGGGGCAAUCGGGAAUUCUUGGUGUAGCGGUGAAAUGCGUAGAUAUCAAGAGGAACACCAAUUGCGAAGGCAGCUCGCUGGGACGUUACUGACGCUGAGACGCGAAAGCGUGGGGAGCAAACAGG